rnacentral:rRNA from 1 species
GGGUCCAUUGCGGAUUACUUCGCCAUAGCAAACUCCGAAUACCGAAGAGUGGAAUCACGGGAGACAGACAUCGGGUGCUAACGUCCGGUGUCAAGAGGGCAACAACCCAGACCGUCAGCUAAGGUCCAAAAGAUUGGCUCAGUGGGAAACGAAGUGGGAAGGUCGAAACAGUCAGGAGGUUGGCUUAGAAGCAGCCAUCCUUUAAAGAAAGCGUAAUAGCUCACUGAUCGAGUCAUCCUGCGCGAAAGAUGUAACGGGGCUUAAGCCAGUCACCGAAGCUGCGGAUGCAAGCGUGCUUGCAUGGUAGGAGAGCGUUCCGUAGACCGGAGAAGGCGCAUUGAGAAGUGCGUUGGAGGUAUCGGAAGUGCGAAUGCUGACAUGAGUAACGAUAAAGGAGGUGAAGAGCCUCCUCGCUGUAAGCCCAAGGUUUCCUGCGCAACGUUCAUCGGCGCAGGGUGAGUCGGCCCCUAAGGCGAGGCAGAAAUGCGUAGCUGAUGGGAAGCAGGUGAAUAUUCCUGCACCAUCGUAAGAAUGCGAUGAGGGGACGGAUCACGGAAGGUUGUCCGGGGGAUGGAAGUCCUGGUCCC